UACGUAGGGUGCGAGCGUUAAUCGGAAUUACUGGGCGUAAAGCGUGCGCAGGCGGUUUUGUAAGCCAGAUGUGAAAGCCCCGGGCUUAACCUGGGAAUGGCAUUUGGGACUGCAAGGCUUGAGUGCGGCAGAGGAGACUGGAAUUCCUGGUGUAGCAGUGAAAUGCGUAGAUAUCUGGAGGAAUACCGGUGGCGAAGGCGGCAUCCUGGACCGAGAUUGACACUGAUGAGCGAAAGCCAGGGGAGCAAACGGG
rnacentral:rRNA from 1 species